GAUGAACGCUAGCGGGAGGCUUAACACAUGCAAGUCGAGGGGCAGCACGAUGUAGCAAUACGUUGGUGGCGACCGGCGCACGGGUGAGUAACACGUAUGUAACCUACCCUUAACAGGAGGAUAACCCGGAGCAAUUCGGACUAAUACCCCAUAAUGAUAUAAUGAGGCAUCUCGUUAUAUUUAAAGCUACGGCGGCAAAGUAUGGGCAUGCGGAACAUUAGCUGGUUGGUAAGGUAACGGCUUACCAAGGCUACGAUGUUUAGGGGUCCUGAGAGGGUGAUCCCCCACACUGGUACUGAGACACGGACCAGACUCCUACGGGAGGCAGCAGUGAGGAAUAUUGGUCAAUGGGCGCAAGCCUGAUCCAGCCAUUCCGCGUGCAGGAUGAAGGCCCUCGGGUUGUAAACUGCUUUUGUACAGAACGAAAAGGUUUCUACUAAUACUAGGAGCUCAUGACGGUACUGUAAGAAUAAGCACCGGCUAACUACGUGCCAGCCGCCGCGGUAA
rnacentral:rRNA from 1 species